UUCCCUCGACCCUGUGGCCCGACUCCUCUGCUUGUAUAGAAACGAACGCCCACGCUCCUCCUCUGCUCUCACAACCCUAGCCGCCGCCCCGUCGCCGGCGCGCCUCCGCGCCGUCGUGCCGUCGUCCGCCGCCGCCCCUCGGCUCUACGCAUCGCCCCGCAAGUCUCCUUCCAUCGCCGCUCGCAGCAGCCGCCCAACGUCCCCGUGCUGUCGUCUCCCUAUCUGCUGCCACUUCCUCCGUUGGUCGCCGCCGGCAGCCGCACGAAGGAGAGCUCCUGGAAGGGCCUGGCCGCAAGAUCCACGGCAGAGAAGCAGUUCUCCCAGCUCAAGAAAUGUCAAAUGGGUCUGCCGAAUGGACCGAUGAGAAUACUCAAAUUAUAGUGGAGUUGUUUGUGAAACAAGUGAAGGCUGGAAACAUGCCAAGCACUCAUUUGACACCCAAUGCAUAUGAUGACGUGGGAAAGGAAUUCUUGCUGAGAACUUGACUUGAGUACACACCAAAGCAAGUGAGGAACAAAUGGACCAAGUUAAAACGUGAGUACAAAACAUUCAAGAAGCUCAAGUUGCGCGAGACUGGAGGGGGCUGGGACUUUGAGAAAAACACUGUCAAACAAGAUAAUAAGUGGUGGAAAAGGGCGAAAGUUGACCUCCCUGGUUGUGGCAAGUUCAAGAAGCAUGGACUUCGUAAUGAAGAAGGCUUGCGCAUCUUGUUUGAGGAUAUCAGUGUUGAUGGCACUGACCAUUGGAACCCCGCAUCUGGUCUACCUCCCCCCUCUAGUUCGGCAUUGAAAACCGCCUUGAAUGUUGAUGAAAUCACCGAUCUUGAUUUGGAGGAGGAUAUCGAAGAGCAACCUUCUCCAUCAGUAGCUAGUUCAUCUAAAGUGAGGCUUGGGGUCACGAUUCCGGAGAAGAACAAGAAACCGAAGACUGCACAAGUGAUGCAAGAGGAGAUUAGAAAUAUUAGUUCUAUUGCCCACGCUUCACACAUAUCGUUUCAAUCUUUCCUAAAGAAAGAUGAGACUGUUUCUGUUGCCUCUACCAUGGAUUUAGUUCGUGAUUGUGGCGCAAUAGACGGCACUGAUGAGCAUUUCAUUGCUACUGAGCUUUUUCUGAAGAGAGAGCAAAGAGAGAUGUUCUUGCACAUGACAUCCGACUCCCGAAAGGGUUGGUUGCGUAGGAGGUUUGACCUCAAGUAUGGGGACUAGUUUGUUCUAUCUUAUCUUAGCUAUGGGAACAACAUUUAUGCGUAUGUUGGCGAAACCUAUUAUUAUCUUGUGCUAUCGGUACAAUAUUUAUGCCUAUGUUGGCAAACCUAUUAUUAUCUUGUGCCCGGAACAAUAUUUAUGCCUAUGUUGCUGAAUCUAUUAUUAUCUUGUCGGUAAACAUAUUUAUUCUUAUGUUGGUGAACAUAUUAUUUUGUUUGAUGCUAACUAUUGUUUGAUAUGGCAGAUGUCAUCGGAUAGUGAUAGUGAGGAUGACAAUAGUUAUGAAAUAAUGAGGAAUUUGGUUAUGCAUCAACAACAUAAUAUGAACAUGCUUUGUUCGCGUGCAGCAGUCAUAUUUGGCAAGUAUUGUGAAAGUUGGGUGAUGAAAGCCGAGCCUCGGAAAUCUAUUUUGUGUGGAUUUGGAUGGCUUCAAGAGACUAUUGCCACACCGGAAGAGACCUACACAAUGUUGAGAAUGACGGCAAGUGUGUUCUUUGAUCUUCAUGACUUGUUGGUACGUGACUAUGGUCUCAAAGAAACAAUCUGUGUUAGCACUUAUGAGUCUCUUGCUAUGUUCUUGUGGACAUUAGGAGGUUGUGAAUCAAAUAGAAGAACUCGAAAUCGCUUCAAACAUUCAGCGGAUACAAUCCAUCGUAAAUUCCAUGAGGUUCUACAGUGUGUAGUGAGCAUGGCAUCUCACUAUACCUUAAGUCACAAGACCCAAACUUCCACAUUGUGCAUGAUCUAAUUAAAAAUGAUAUGAGGGCUUCUCAUCUCAAAGAUUGCAUUGGUGCAAUCGAUGGGACUCAUAUAAGAGCUUCUAUUCCCGAUGGCCCACUGAAACUUAGGUACAUUGGGAGGACGGGCAUGACAACUCAAAAUGUGAUGGCGAUAUGUGACUUAUUGAUAUGCACUUUACUUAUGCUUCAAUUGGGCAACCUGGUUCUAUGCAUGAUACAAAUGUGUUAUACCAUGCAAUUGAGAAGUACAGGCCCUCCUUCCCCCAUCCUCCAAAGGGCAAGUAUUAGCUUGUAGAUGCCGGGUAUCCUAAUAGAGAUGGAUAUCUAGCACCAUACAAAGGAGAAGGGUAUCAUGUCCCUGACUUUCAAAGAGGCGCACCUCCAAAUACUCCUAAGGAGAAGUUCAACAAAAUUCACCCCUCCAAAUGCAAUUGCAUGGAGAGAACCUUUGGAGUAUGGAAAAUGGAAUGGCAAAUUCUCCUCAAGAUGCCAAACUACUCGUUCCAAACACAUAUGAAGAUUGUUGCAGCUACUAUGACAUUGCACAACUAUGUUCGCCUCCAUAACAAAGAUGAUCUCCACUUUAUUCGAUGUGAAAGAGAUCCGGAUUAUGUUCCAACAAUUCCGGAUAGAUACAAGAAGUAUGUUAUUCCUUCCAGUGCAUCGGAUGCUUCUACUUCGGAGGCAAGUGCUCCUGAUAUGGAUAGGUUUAGAAUGAACUAGCUACCGCCAUUGCUCUUGGUUGGUGAAAUCAUGCUCGUGGGGCAAUUUGUAGCUCUUUUGAUUUGCAAACAUAUGCAAAUUUGAUUAAGCUUUUGUUGUACGACAUAUGUCAA